AGCAGCCGCGGUAAUUCCAGCUCCAAUAGCGUAUAUUAAAGUUGUUGCAGUUAAAAAGCUCGUAGUUGAAUUUCGGGACCAAUUUGUUGGUCGUGCCUCGGUACGUACUGGUAUUAUUGGUUUCUCCCUUCUGAAGAACCUCGAUGCCAUUAAUUUGGUGUCGUAGGGAAUCAGGACUGUUACUUUGAAAAAAUUAGAGUGUUUAAAGCAAGCAUACGCUUGAAUACAUUAGCAUGGAAUAAUGAAAUAGGACGUUUGAUUCUAUUUUGUUGGUUUCUAGGAUCGACGUAAUGAUUAAUAGGGAUAGUUGGGGGCAUUAGUAUUCAAUUGUCAGAGGUGAAAUUCUUGGAUUUAUUGAAGACUAACUACUGCGAAAGCAUUUGCCAAGGAUGUUUUCAUUAAUCAAGAACGAAAGUUAGGGGAUCGAAGACGAUCAGAUACCGUCGUAGUCUUAACCAUAAACUAUGCCGACUAGGGAUCGGAUGAUGUUAAUUUUUUAAUGACUCAUUCGGCGCCUUAC
rnacentral:misc_RNA from 1 species